rnacentral:misc_RNA from 1 species
CCAAUAGCGUAUAUUAAAGUUGUUGCAGUUAAAAAGCUCGUAGUUGAAUUUCGGGAUUGACGUGAUGGUCAUGCCUUAAGGGGUAUGAACUGUUGCUGUUGAUUUCUCACCUUCUGGAGAAACUUGAUGUCCUUUAUUGGGUGUCUUGCGGAUCCAGGACCUUUACCUUGAAAAAAUUAGAGUGUUUAAAGCAGGCAUUUUUGCUCGAAUACAUUAGCAUGGAAUAAUAGAAUAGGACGGCAUGGUUCUAUUUUGUUGGUUUCUAGGAUCACCGUAAUGAUUAAUAGGGAUAGUUGGGGGCAUUAGUAUUCAAUUGUCAGAGGUGAAAUUCUUGGAUUUAUUGAAGACUAACUACUGCGAAAGCAUUUGCCAAGGAUGUUUUCAUUAAUCAAGAACGAAAGUUAGGGGAUCGAAGACGAUCAGAUACCGUCGUAGUCUUAACCAUAAACUAUGCCGACUAGGAAUCAGACGAUGUUAAUUUUUUAAUGACUCGUUUGACACCUUACG